GUUACCCACAAACAGAAUUUUAGUUCAACUUUAAAUUUACCUAAAAAAAAUAAAAUUUUAAUGUAAAUUUAAAAUAUAGUCUAAGAAGGUACAGCUUCUUAGAAUCAGGAUACAACCUUUAUUAGAGAGUAUAUACUAAUAUCACCAUAGUUGGCUUAAAAGCAGCCACCAAUUGAGAAAGCGUUCCAGCUCAACAAACAAUAUAACUUAAUCCCAACCAUACUACAUCAACUCCUAAUUAUACCCCCUGGGUCAUUCUAUUUAAGUAUAGAAGCAAUAAUGCUAGUAUGAGUAACAAGAACCAUUUUCUCCCCGCAUAAGCUUAUAUCAGGAACGGAUAGACCACUGAUAGUUAACAAUCUGAUAAUAUCAACCCAAAAAUGAAAUACUUAUCCACCCCAUUGUUAACCCAACACAGGUAUGCAUUCAAGGAAAGAUUAAAAGGAGUAAAAGGAACUCGGCAAACACAAACCCCGCCUGUUUACCAAAAACAUCACCUCCAGCAUUUCUAGUAUUGGAGGCACUGCCUGCCCGGUGACACUUGUUUAACGGCCGCGGUAUCCUG
rnacentral:rRNA from 1 species